GCCCCGGUAAACGGCGGCCGUAACAAUAACGGUCCUAAGGUAGCGAAAUUCCUUGUCGGGUAAGUUCCGACCUGCACGAAUGGUGUAACCAUGGCCAUGCUGUCUCCACCCGAGACUCAGUGAAAUCGAAUUCGCCGUGAAGAUGCGGUGUACCCGCGGCUAGACGGAAAGACCCCGUGAACCUUUACUACAGCUUGGCACUGAACAUUGAACCUACAUGUGUAGGAUAGGUGGGAGGCUUUGAAGGCGUGACGCUAGUUGCGCUGGAGCCGUCCUUGAAAUACCACCCUUGUAUGUUUGAUGUUCUAACGCAGGGCCCUGAAUCGGGCUCGCGGACAGUGCCUGGUGGGUAGUUUGACUGGGGCGGUCUCCUCCCAAAGAGUAACGGAGGAGCACGAAGGUUGGCUAAUCCUGGUCGGACAUCAGGAGGUUAGUGCAAUGGCAUAAGCCAGCUUAACUGCGAGACGGACAGGUCGAGCAGGUACGAAAGUAGGUCAUAGUGAUCCGGUGGUUCUGAAUGGAAGGCCAUCGCUC
rnacentral:rRNA from 1 species